UCCCUGGACGACUAGUGGUUAGGCCUCGGUGCUCUCAGAGCUGUUGUCUGGGUUCGAUUCCUGGCCAGGGAA